CUAAUGAGUUGUUUUGUCGCUUUUCAUUAUAGAUCUUAUGGGACUUUUUUUCUACACAAAAUAGGCUCCAUAAU
rnacentral:tRNA from 1 species